rnacentral:rRNA from 1 species
GCCGGAAUUGCUAGUAAUGGCAGGUCAGCAUACUGCCGUGAAUACGUUCCCGGGCCUUGUACACACCGCCCGUCACACCAUGAGAGUUGGGAAUACCCGAAGCCUGUGAGCUAACUUUACGAGGCAGCAGUCGAAGGUAGAAUCAAUGAUUGGGGUGAAGUCGUAACAAGGUAGC